UACGAAGGGUGCAAGCGUUACUCGGAAUUACUGGGCGUAAAGCGUGCGUAGGUGGUGGUUUAAGUCCGAUGUGAAAGCCCUGGGCUCAACCUGGGAAUGGCAUGGGAUACUGGGUCACUGGAGUGCGGUAGAGGAUGGCGGAAUUCCCGGUGUAGCAGUGAAAUGCGUAGAGAUCGGGAGGAACAUCUGUGGCGAAGGCGGCCAUCUGGACCAGCACUGACACUGAGGCACGAAAGCGUGGGGAGCAAACAGG
rnacentral:rRNA from 1 species